GAUGAACGCUGGCGGCGUGCCUAAUACAUGCAAGUCGAGCGGAUGGAUUAAGAGCUUGCUCUUAUGAAGUUAGCGGCGGACGGGUGAGUAACACGUGGGUAACCUGCCCAUAAGACUGGGAUAACUCCGGGAAACCGGGGCUAAUACCGGAUAACAUUUUGAACCGCAUGGUUCGAAAUUGAAAGGCGGCUUCGGCUGUCACUUAUGGAUGGACCCGCGUCGCAUUAGCUAGUUGGUGAGGUAACGGCUCACCAAGGCAACGAUGCGUAGCCGACCUGGGAGGGUGAUCGGCCACACUGGGACUGAGACACGGCCCAGACUCCUACGGGAGGCAGCAGUAGGGAAUCUUCCGCAAUGGACGAAGGUCUGACGGAGCAACGCCGCGUGAGUGAUGAAGGCUUUCGGGUCGUAAAACUCUGUUGUUAGGGAGGAACAAGUGCUAGUUGAAUAAGCUGGCACCUUGACGGUACCUAACCAGAAAGCCACGGCUAACUACGUGCCAGCCGCCGCAGUAA
rnacentral:rRNA from 1 species